CAACCCUCAAGCCCCCCGGGGGCUUGGUGUUGGGGACCGGCCCCGCCCCGUCGCGGGUCGCCGUCCCCCAAAUACAGUGGCGGUCCUGCCGCAGCCUCCUCUGCGUAGUAAAUCAUAACCUCGCACCGGAGCGCGGCUCGGCCACGCCGUUAAACCCCAACUUCUGAAA
rnacentral:misc_RNA from 1 species